GUAGCAUACGCAGUCGGUAGAGCAACUGAUUCGUAAUCAGUAGGUCGCCGGUUCGAAUCGGGCGAAUGAUCGCCC
rnacentral:tRNA from 1 species